GACGAACGCUGGCGGCGUGCUUAACACAUGCAAGUCGAACGGAAAGGCCCUGCUUUUGUGGGGUGCUCGAGUGGCGAACGGGUGAGUAACACGUGAGUAACCUGCCCUUGACUUUGGGAUAACUUCAGGAAACUGGGGCUAAUACCGGAUAGGAGCUCCUGCUGCAUGGUGGGGGUUGGAAAGUUUCGGCGGUUGGGGAUGGACUCGCGGCUUAUCAGCUUGUUGGUGGGGUAGUGGCUUACCAAGGCUUUGACGGGUAGCCGGCCUGAGAGGGUGACCGGCGACAUUGGGACUGAGAUACGGCCCAGAGUCGUACGGGAGGCAGGAGGGGGGAAGAUUGCACAAUGGGCGGAAGCCUGAUGCAGCAACGCCGCGUGCGGGAUGACGGCCUUCGGGUUGUAAACCGCUUUCGCCUGUGACGAAGCGUGAGUGACGGUAAUGGGUAAAGAAGCACCGGCUAACUACGUG
rnacentral:rRNA from 1 species